rnacentral:rRNA from 1 species
GUUUAGUUUAAAAAUAGAUAGUAUAAUAUAUGCAUAUCUAUAGGAUUAAAAUUUAUGAAUUUUACAGAAUAGCACUUAAGAUUUUCAGAAAUAAUUUUUUUAAAAUUAUUUAGGAAAAAUUAGUGUGUAUUUUAUUUUAUCGUAUAUUUUUUAUAUUGAUAUUGUACCCGCAACUAAAAAGUAAGGUUCAAAUUUGAAUUUGUGUAAGAUUUUCCCUUAGCUUCUAAUUUUGUUUAAAUGGACGCAUUUUAAAUUUCCCCCGGGAAGAAGUUUAUAAAGGGAGAGAGACGUUGGGGGGGAAGGCAACAGUAUCAGGUGAAAGUGGAAAUUGUCCUCAUUGGAAACGUUGAGAAAUUAGGAAUUUGGAGUAACUGGUAAUUGACCUUACUAUGGAUGGGGAAAUUAGGAAUUGAUUAAACUGGGAAUUGACCUGAAGUCGUCAAGAUAAAUUAUUUUUAAAAAUUUAUUUUUUAAAAGAUAAGUUUUUUGUGGUUCAAUUUCCAACGUUGAGGUCCGUGUUGUUGUUUUAGCUUUGAAAUAGAUUUACAUGUUAGUUAAGGCAAAGAAUUAAAUAAUAAUAAAUUUAUAAAAGUUAGUCUCAGUAGAAAAUAUUAGAAAUAUAAUAAAUUUUUAUCUAGGUAAUUUCUUAGAAGUGGAAAAUGGCGUGCCAGCAGCCGCGGUUAUACUCCUGCUUCAAGUUAAAAUUUUUAUACGAAAUUUUGUUUAAAAUAAUAUGAGGGAGUUUUUUGAAAUUAUUAGGUAGAAUUUUAAUUUUCAGUAAAUGACAAUAGAUUUUAAGCUUUAGAAUUAUAGUAUGGACCAGGAUUAGAUACCCUGUUACUUAUAAUAAAAAAAUUUUGGAAUAGUAAUAUUGAUGAAAUUUAACGGAUUUGGCGGU